AAUCUAAAGUGGUUGCUGUGGAGGACAGGGGUCAGUGGUGGAAGUGAGACCGAAAUAGACUCUGAAGUAAUAUCUGGACUUUGAAAUUGUUGCCUGUUCACUCUGCCUGGUCAUAUGCAGAAAACCGAAACUAGACCCCUUGCUGACACUUAUACAAAAAUUAACUCAAGAUGCAUUAAAGAUUUAAACGUGAGACCUAAAACCAGAAAAAUCCUAGAAGAAAACCUAGGCAACACCAUUGAGGACGUAAGCAUGGGCAAAGACUUCAUGACUAAAACACCAAAAGAAAUGGCAACAAAAGCCAAAAUUGACAAAAGGUUUCCUUAAUGACAACAAAAAAGGGAGUAAUCCUACCCACUGUAAGAGUCAUGACUCUUGAUUGCAGCUGACAGAAACUCAUGACAGCCUGCUUUAGAUGAAGGGGGAGAGAAGGACUGGAAGAAUCUUGGAGUUGGGAAUGUCACACGUAAUUGAAGGAAGAACAAGAAAACUAUAAUUCUUCCCCUGGAGGCUGGAGUUUCCAGGAUGUCAAAAUUACCUCUGCUUGGGCAGCUGCUCCCAACCCCAGAACCUUUGCUGUCUUGGGACGGAUCACCGCUGCAAGAGGGGAAGUUGCUACUGUGAUGAAUUCUGCCAUGUGGCACCAGACUGCCACCCAGACCACAGUGUCCUCUGCAACCCUGGUAACUCACAUACAGGCCCGAUUCCACCUACAGCAAAGCUGGAUGCGAUGGCUGGCAGAGGCAAACCCUUUGCCUGCACUUCAGGCCAAAGCCGGGAUGUGGCCUAGAUGGUUCCUAAGGUCCCUGACAAUCCUGAGAUCUUGCAUCUUGUCUAUUUCAGGUCAAAGCUUCUCAGAUGACCAAGAUGGUGCUGCAGAUGGUGCUGAGGAUGGAGAACCCACCAAGCCC
rnacentral:lncRNA from 10 species